UGGGGAAUUUUGGACAAUGGGCGCAAGCCUGAUCCAGCCAUGCCGCGUGCAGGAAGAAGGCCUUCGGGUUGUAAACUGCUUUUGUCAGGGAAGAAAUCCUUUGGGUUAAUACCUCGAAGGGAUGACGGUACCUGAAGAAUAAGCACCGGCUAACUACGUGCCAGCAGCCGCGGUAAUACGUAGGGUGCGAGCGUUAAUCGGAAUUACUGGGCGUAAAGCGUGCGCAGGCGGCUUUGCAAGACAGAUGUGAAAUCCCCCGGGCUCAACCUGGGAACUGCAUUUGUGACUGCAAGGCUAGAGUGCGGCAGAGGGAGAUGGAAUUCCGCGUGUAGCAGUGAAAUGCGUAGAUAUGCGGAGGAACACCGAUGGCGAAGGCAAUCUCCUGGGCCUGCACUGACGCUCAUGCACGAAAGCGUGGGGAGCAAACNGGAUUAGAUACCCUGGUAGUCCACGCCCUAAANGAUGUCAACUGGUUGUUGGACGGCUUGCUGUUCAGUAACGAAGCUAACGCGUGAAGUUGACCGCCUGGGGAGUACGGCCGCAAGGUUGAAACUCAAAGGAAUUGACGGGGGUCAUAGCU
rnacentral:rRNA from 1 species